rnacentral:rRNA from 1 species
CCUCAGUAGUUAGAUAACAAAACUACUCGCCAGAAUACUACAAGCAACAGCUUGAAACUCAAAGGACUUGACGGUGCUUUACAUCCCCCUAGAGGAGCCUGUUCCAUAAUCGAUAAACCCCGAUCCACCCUACCCUCUCUUGCUCAGCCUAUAUACCGCCAUCUUCAGCAAACCCUAAUGAGGGCCACAAAGUGAGCGCAAACGCCACCACCGCGAAUACGUUAGGUCAAGGUGUAGCCCAUGAGACGGUAAAAAAUGGGCUACAUUUUCUAUUUCAGAAAACCCACGAAAACCCUUAUGAAACUUAAGGGUCCAAGGAGGAUUUAGCAGUAAAUUAAGAAUAGAGUGCUUAAUUGAACCAGGCCAUAAAGCG